AUGAGUGCGUGUUUCUCAGGCCUCAAUCUGGGCCUGACUGCAUCAAAACGGGGGUCAGACCCACAAUACAACAUGGAUUCGACCUGCAUCAAAACGGGGGUCAGACCUGCAUCAAAACGGGGGUCAGACCUGCAUCAAAACGGGGGUCAGACCCGCAUCAAAACGGGGGUCAGACCCGCAGCACAACGGGGGUCAGACCCUCAUCAAAACGUGGGUCAGACCCUCAUCAAAACGUGGGUCAGACCCUCAUCAAAACGUUCAGUCUCACAUCAACACGUGGGUCAGACCCACAGCACAACAUGGAUCAGACCUGCAUCAAAAUGUGGGUCAGUCUCACAUCAAAACGUGGGUCAGAUCCUAAACAAAACGUGGGUCAGACCCCCAGCACAACAUGGAUCAGUCUCACAUCAAAAUGUGGAUCAGACCUACAUCAAAACAUGGGUUAGAUCCACAGCACAACAUGGGUCAGACCUGCAUCAAAACGUGGGUCAGUCCCACAGCACAACGUGGAUCAAACCUGCAUCAAAAUGUGGAUCAGUCUCACAUCAAAUUGUGGGUCAGACCCACAGCACAACAUGGAUCAGACCUGCAUCAAAAUGUGGAUCAGUCUCACAUCAAAAUGUGGGUCAGAUCCUAAACAAAACGUGGGUCAGACCCACAGCACAACAUGGAUCAGUCCUGCAUCAAAAUAUGGGUCAGUCUCACAUUAAAUUGUGGGUCAGACCCCCAGCACAACAUGGAUCAGUCUCACAUCAAAAUAUGGAUCAGACCUACAUCAAAACAUGGGUUAGAUCCACAGCACAACAUGGGUCAGACCUGCAUCAAAACGUGAGUCAGACCCCCAUCAAAAUGUGGGUCAAACCUGCAUCAAAACGGGGACAGACCCACAGCACAACGUGGAUCAAACCUGCAUCAAAACGUGGGUCAGACCCCCAUCAAAAUGUGGGUCAAACCUGCAUCAAAACGGGGACAGACCCACAGCACAACGUGGAUCAAACCUGCAUCAAAAUGUGGGUCAGUCCCACAUCAAAUUGUGGGUCAGACCCACAAUACAACAUGGGUCAGACCUGCAUCAAAACGUGGGUCAGACCCACAGCACAACAUGGGUCAGUCUCACAUCAACACGUGGGUCAGACCCACAGCACAACAUGGAUCAGACCUGCAUCAAAAUGUGGGUCAGACCCACAGACAACGUGGGUCACAACGGUGCCCAGCUCUGCUCCUCUCCUGCCCGAACCUCCACCCGAAUCCACCCAUCCCACACCAUGA
rnacentral:lncRNA from 1 species